rnacentral:rRNA from 1 species
AACGAACGCUGGCGGCAGGCCUAACACAUGCAAGUCGAACGAUCCUUCGGGAUAGUGGCGCACGGGUGAGUAACACGUGGGAAUGUAACUUUUAGUGGGGGAUAACAGUUGGAAACGACUGCUAAUACCGCAUACGUCCUUCGGGAGAAAGCUUUAUCGCUAAAAGAUCAGCCCGCGUCUGAUUAGCUAGUUGGUGAGGUAAUGGAUCACCAAGGCGACGAUCAGUAGCUGGUCUAAGAGGACGACCAGCCACACUGGAACUGAGACACGGUCCAGACUCCUACGGGAGGCAGCAGUGGGGAAUAUUGGACAAUGGGCGAAAGCCUGAUCCAGCCAUGCCGCGUGAGUGAUGAAGGCCUUCGGGUUGUAAAGCUCUUUAGCAGGGGAAGAUAGUGUCGGUACCCUGAGAAUAAGCCCCGGCUAACUCUGUGCCAGCCGCCGCCGUAA